rnacentral:rRNA from 1 species
AUUGAACGCUGGCGGAAUGCUUUACACAUGCAAGUCGAACGGCAGCACGGGGCAACCUGGUGGCGAGUGGCGAACGGGUGAGUAAUACAUCGGAACGUGCCCAAUCGUGGGGGAUAACGUAGCGAAAGUUACGCUAAUACCGCAUACGAUCUACGGAUGAAAGCGGGGGAUCGCAAGACCUCGCGCGAGUGGAGCGGCCGAUGUCAGAUUAGGCAGUUGGUGGGGUAAAGGCUCACCAAGCCAACGAUCUGUAGCUGGUCUGAGAGGACGACCAGCCACACUGGAACUGAGACACGGUCCAGACUCCUACGGGAGGCAGCAGUGGGGAAUUUUGGACAAUGGGCGCAAGCCUGAUCCAGCCAUUCCGCGUGCAGGAUGAAGGCCUCGGUUGUAAACUGCUUUGUUACGGAACGAAACGGACGAGCUCUAAUACAGUUUGCUAAUAGACGGUACCGUAAGAAUAAG